rnacentral:lncRNA from 1 species
CAGUUGUUGGCUCUUUCGUUUUCUCUCUCUCUUUCUUUCUCUCUCUCUCAAAAACACUCUCCGCGUGUAAACAGAGUCUCUUGCAUUGUAUUGAACCUUGAGAGAAGGAAGAAGAUGUCAGACGCGUUCUGCAGCGACUGCAAGAAGCAGACGGAGGUUGUGUUCGACCACUCCGCCGGCGACACCGUCUGCUCCGAGUGCGGCCUCGUCCUCGAGUCCCACUCCAUCGACGAGACCUCCGAGUGGCGUACCUUCGCCAACGAG